AGUAUUGGACAAUGGGGGCAACCCUGAUCCAGCAAUGCCGCGUGGGUGAUGAAGGCCUUCGGGUUGUAAAGCUCUUUUGGCGGGGACGAUGAUGACGGUACCCGCAGAAUAAGCCCCGGCUAACUUCGUGCCAGCAGCCGCGGUAAUACGAAGGGGGCAAGCGUUGUUCGGAAUUACUGGGCGUAAAGGGCUCGUAGGCGGCCAACUAAGUCAUACGUGAAAUCCCUCAGCUUAACUGGGGAACUGCGUGUGAUACUGGAUGGCUUGGAUUUGGGAGAGGGAUGCGGAAUUCCAGGUGUAGCGGUGAAAUGCGUAGAUAUCUGGAGGAACACCGGUGGCGAAGGCGGCAUCCUGGACCAAUAUUGACGCUGAGGAGCGAAAGCCAGGGGAGCAAAC
rnacentral:rRNA from 1 species